GGGCACUCCACUGCAAUCUCCAUGCUGGGAAGACUUUAUCAAAUCCUCUCCAGUACUCCCUCCCCCCACAACCACUAGCAGUGGAGUCUGGACCACUGGGGAGUGAUUUAGCCAGCUCUCCAGUAGAGAUCAUAAAAUGUACCCUGUACUGGGGUUUGCAGUUUCUUUAUUAUGCUAAAUGGACAAGGGCAGCCAGGGCAGACUUUAAACUCUUUCCCCUGGUGGUCCCAGACUGGAUUUCAGCGCAAGGGCUGAUGGGUGUUCAGAAGAGCAAGGCUGGGUAAAGGCUCUCCAUAGCUGUCCAGCAGUUUGGCUUACUCAAUUUUAUUUUCAUAGGCAUUUUUUUUUUAACUUGGAAGAAAAGUGUUGACUUAGAAGGACUGCUGAAUACCUGUCAGUCAAACUGCCCCCACAAGGUCUUUCCAGUGCCAGACUGUAUUUGCUGGCCAGAGAUGCCUCAGGCCAGAGGCUCUCCAGCCUGGCGCUGCUACAAGGACGGCGGCUCCUGCACCCAGUGCAGCUCAGGCCUCCCUGACGCCAAAGUAGACUCUGAAAUGAUACGUUUGUUCUGCUUUUACUGCUGCAUUUAAAAAAAAAAAAAUUGCAACACUAGAAUGAAUGGAUUAUGAGUAAAUAAAAAGAAACUGUCAGUCUCUUUGAAGGUUGUGCUUAAAGGGACUUGCCAAGUCAGGGCACAAGAGUGACAAGAUAGAGACCCUGGUGUUUUGCAUGCUCAGCUCGGCUCUUCCGCUUCAUCUGCACCGCACUAAAGGAUGUGUUGAUGCAUUGAAUCACAAAAAAAGUGGCACGCAAAAUAAAAGGUGCCACAUCACAAUGAUUGUAGUGUUUUAACUACGAAUUGCCACAUCACCCAAUCCAAGGAAAUGCAGGUCUACACAGGCAAAGAAAACGAUACAACACUUCCAUAACUUAUAAUUAAGUUGAAGUCUGCCUAACAUUUGACUUUCUAAUGAGUGUAAUGAGAUUACAUGCCUGAUGGAAGCAUUUGUGCAAAAGCAACUUUCGUGUUUAAUGAG
rnacentral:lncRNA from 1 species